rnacentral:rRNA from 1 species
GACGAACGCUGGCGGCGUGCUUAACACAUGCAAGUCGAACGGAAAGGCCCUGCUUUUGUGGGGUGCUCGAGUGGCGAACGGGUGAGUAACACGUGAGUAACCUGCCCUUGACUUUGGGAUAACUUCAGGAAACUGGGGCUAAUACCGGAUAGGAGCUCCUGCUGCAUGGUGGGGGUUGGAAAGUUUCGGCGGUUGGGGAUGGACUCGCGGCUUAUCAGCUUGUUGGUGGGGUAGUGGCUUACCAAGGCUUUGACGGGUAGCCGGCCUGAGAGGGUGACCGGCCACAUUGGGACUGAGAUAAGGCCCAGACUCCUACGGGGGGCAGCCGUGGGGAAUAAUGCACAAUGGGCGGAAGCCUGAAGCAGCAACGCCGGGUGGGGGAUGACGGCCUUCGGGUUGUAAACCGCUUUCGCCUGUGACGAAGCGUGAGUGACGGUAAUGGGUAAAGAAGCACCGGCUAACUACGUG